rnacentral:rRNA from 1 species
UCGAACGGACUUAACUCAUUCUUUUAGAUUGAGAGCGGUUAGUGGCGGACCGGUGAGUAACACGUAAGCAACCUGCCUAUCAGAGGGGAAUAACAGUGAGAAAUCAUUGCUAAUACCGCAUAAGCUAGUAGUAUCGCAUGAUAUAGCUAGAAAAGGAGCAAUCCGCUGAUAGAUGGGCUUGCGUCUGAUUAGCUAGUUGGUGGGGUAACGGCCUACCAAGGCGACGAUCAGUAGCCGGACUGAGAGGUUGAACGGCCACAUUGGGACUGAGAUACGGCCCAGACUCCUACGGGAGGCAGCAGUCGGGAAUAUUGCGCAAUGGAGGAAACUCUGACGCAGUGACGCCGCGUAUAGGAAGAAGGUUUUCGGAUUGUAAACUAUUGUCGUGAGGGAAGAAAUUGACAGUACCUCAGGAGGAAGCUCCGGCUAACUAUGUGCCAGCAGCCGCGGUAAUACAUAGGGAGCAAGCGUUAUCCGGAUUUAUUGGGUGUAAAGGGUGCGUAGACGGGAAAUUAAGUUAGUUGUGAAAUCCCUCGGCUUAACUGAGGAACUGCAACUAAAACUGAUUUUCUUGAGUACUGGAGAGGAAAGUGGAAUUCCUAGUGUAGCGGUGAAAUGCGUAGAUAUUAGGAGGAACACCAGUGGCGAAGGCGACUUUCUGGACAGUAACUGACGUUGAGGCACGAAAGUGUGGGGAGCAAACAGGAUUAGAUACCCUGGUAGUCCACACUGUAAACGAUGGAUACUAGGUGUAGGAUGUAUUAAGCAUUCUGUGCCGCCGCUAACGCAUUAAGUAUCCCACCUGGGGAG